AGCGAACGCUGGCGGCAGGCCUAACACAUGCAAGUCGAACGAACUCUUCGGAGUUAGUGGCGGACGGGUGAGUAACACGUGGGAACGUGCCUUUAGGUUCGGAAUAACUCAGGGAAACUUGUGCUAAUACCGAAUGUGCCCUUCGGGAGAAAGAUUUAUCGCCUUUAGAGCGGCCCGCGUCUGAUUAGCUAGUUGGUGAGGUAAAGGCUCACCAAGGCGACGAUCAGUAGCUGGUCUGAGAGGAUGAUCAGCCACAUUGGGACUGAGACACGGCCCAAACUCCUACGGGAGGCAGCAGUGGGGAAUCUUGCGCAAUGGGCGAAAGCCUGACGCAGCCAUGCCGCGUGAAUGAUGAAGGUCUUAGGAUUGUAAAAUUCUUUCACCGGGGACGAUAAUGACGGUACCCGGAGAAGAAGCCCCGGCUAACUUCGUG
rnacentral:rRNA from 1 species